AUUGAACGCUGGCGGCAGGCCUAACACAUGCAAGUCGAACGAGUGGCGGACGGGUGAGUAAUGGCUGGGAAACUGCCUAAUGGAGGGGGAUAACUACUGGAAACGGUAGCUAAUACCGCAUACCAUCGGAUGUGCCCAGAUGGGAUUAGCGAGUGGGUGGGGUAACGGCUCACCUAGGCGACGAUCCCUAGCAGGUCUGAGAGGAUGACCGGCCACACUGGGACUGAGACACGGCCCAGACUCCUACGGGAGGCAGCAGUGGGGAAUAUUGCGCAAUGGGCGAAAGUCUGAUGGAGCAAUGCCGCGUGAGUGAAGAAGGCUUUCGGGUUGUAAAGCUCUUUCAGCAGGGAAGCGUUACCCAAAGAGGAAGCCACGGCUAACUCCGUGCCAGCAGCCGCGGUAAUAC
rnacentral:rRNA from 1 species